AUCAUGACUAUGAUAGCUACUAUGAAUUCGAUGAGGAAGCUUAUAGGAGAUGGAGCUUUGGUGGAGCAAUAAGUCCUUGUUUGGCUGAUUUAAAGCAUUUGAAUUACUUGGACUUGAGCGGCAAUGAUUUUGAAGGAGAAGUUUGCUACAUGAACACCAGCCCUUUUAUUUAAUCUUCAAAUAGGCACACUAUGUGUUGAUUUAGGCCUUCAGGGAUUCCUACCCAAGGAUUUGCACUAUAGCUUUAUUUCUCAAUUCAGACUAGUGUUCUACAUCCGAAUAAGAGAGUAUUCAAAGGUACGACUUCUUUAUUGAAUGUUCUCCAG